UACAGAGGGUGCAAGCGUUGUUCGGAAUCACUGGGCGUAAAGCGCGCGCAGGCGGGUGGGCAAGUCGGAAGUGAAAUCUCGCCGCUCAACGACGAGGCUGCUUCGGAUACUACCCAUCUAGGGACCGGUAGAGGCUGGUAGAAUUGCAGGUGUAGCGGUGGAAUGCGUAGAGAUCUGCAAGAAUACCCGUGGCGAAGGCGGCCAGCUGGGCCGGGUCCGACGCUGAGGCGCGAAAGCGUGGGGAGCAAAC
rnacentral:rRNA from 1 species